GGUCAAGUGAAGAAGCGCAUACGGUGGAUGCCUUGGCAGUCAGAGGCGAUGAAAGACGUGGUAGCCUGCGAAAAGCUUCGGGGAGUCGGCAAACAGACUUUGAUCCGGAGAUGUCUGAAUGGGGGAACCCAGCCAUCAUAAGAUGGUUAUCUUACGCUGAAUACAUAGGCGUAAGAGGCGAACCAGGGGAACUGAAACAUCUAAGUACCCUGAGGAAAAGAAAUCAACCGAGAUUCCCUUAGUAGUGGCGAGCGAACGGGGACUAGCCCUUAAGUGGCUUUGAGAUUAGCGGAACGCUCUGGAAAGUGCGGCCAUAGUGGGUGAUAGCCCUGUACGCGAAAAUCUCUUAGUCAUGAAAUCGAGUAGGACGGAGCACGAGAAACUUUGUCUGAAUAUGGGGGGACCAUCCUCCAAGGCUAAAUACUACUGACUGACCGAUAGUGAACUAGUACCGUGAGGGAAAGGCGAAAAGAACCCCGGAGAGGGGAGUGAAAUAGAUCCUGAAACCGUAUGCGUACAAGCAGUGGGAGCCCACUUUGUUGGGUGACUGCGUACCUUUUGUAUAAUGGGUCAGCGACUUAUUUUCAGUGGCGAGCUUAACCGAAUAGGGGAGGCGUAGCGAAAGCGAGUCUUAAUAGGGCGUCUAGUCGCUGGGAAUAGACCCGAAACCGGGCGAUCUAUCCAUGGGCAGGUUGAAGGUUGGGUAACACUAACUGGAGGACCGAACCGACUACCGUUGAAAAGUUAGCGGAUGACCUGUGGAUCGGAGUGAAAGGCUAAUCAAGCUCGGAGAUAGCUGGUUCUCCUCGAAAGCUAUUUAGGUAGCGCCUCAUGUAUCACUGUAGGGGGUAGAGCACUGUUUCGGCUAGGGGGUCAUCCCGACUUACCAAACCGAUGCAAACUCCGAAUACCUACAAGUGCCGAGCAUGGGAGACACACGGCGGGUGCUAACGUCCGUCGUGAAAAGGGAAACAACCCAGACCGUCAGCUAAGGUCCCAAAGUUAUGGUUAAGUGGGAAACGAUGUGGGAAGGCUUAGACAGCUAGGAGGUUGGCUUAGAAGCAGCCACCCUUUAAAGAAAGCGUAAUAGCUCACUAGUCGAGUCGGCCUGCGCGGAAGAUGUAACGGGGCUCAAACCAUACACCGAAGCUACGGGUAUCACGUAAGUGAUGCGGUAGAGGAGCGUUCUGUAAGCCUGUGAAGGUGAGUUGAGAAGCUUGCUGGAGGUAUCAGAAGUGCGAAUGCUGACAUGAGUAACGACAAUGGGUGUGAAAAACACCCACGCCGAAAGACCAAGGUUUCCUGCGCAACGUUAAUCGACGCAGGGUUAGUCGGUCCCUAAGGCGAGGCUGAAAAGCGUAGUCGAUGGAAAACAGGUUAAUAUUCCUGUACUUCUGGUUAUUGCGAUGGAGGGACGGAGAAGGCUAGGCCAGCUUGGCGUUGGUUGUCCAAGUUUAAGGUGGUAGGCUGAGAUCUUAGGUAAAUCCGGGAUCUUAAGGCCGAGAGCUGAUGACGAGUGUUCUUUUAGAACACGAAGUGGUUGAUGCCAUGCUUCCAAGAAAAGCUUCUAAGCUUCAGGUAACCAGGAACCGUACCCCAAACCGACACAGGUGGUUGGGUAGAGAAUACCAAGGCGCUUGAGAGAACUCGGGUGAAGGAACUAGGCAAAAUGGCACCGUAACUUCGGGAGAAGGUGCGCCGGUGAGGGUGAAGGACUUGCUCCGUAAGCUCAUGCCGGUCGAAGAUACCAGGCCGCUGCGACUGUUUAUUAAAAACACAGCACUCUGCAAACACGAAAGUGGACGUAUAGGGUGUGACGCCUGCCCGGUGCCGGAAGGUUAAUUGAUGGGGUUAGCUAACGCGAAGCUCUUGAUCGAAGCCCCGGUAAACGGCGGCCGUAACUAUAACGGUCCUAAGGUAGCGAAAUUCCUUGUCGGGUAAGUUCCGACCUGCACGAAUGGCGUAACGAUGGCGGCGCUGUCUCCACCCGAGACUCAGUGAAAUUGAAAUCGCUGUGAAGAUGCAGUGUAUCCGCGGCUAGACGGAAAGACCCCGUGAACCUUUACUAUAGCUUUGCACUGGACUUUGAAUUUGCUUGUGUAGGAUAGGUGGGAGGCUUUGAAGCGUGGACGCCAGUCUGCGUGGAGCCAACCUUGAAAUACCACCCUGGCAACUUUGAGGUUCUAACUCAGGUCCGUUAUCCGGAUCGAGGACAGUGUAUGGUGGGUAGUUUGACUGGGGCGGUCUCCUCCUAAAGAGUAACGGAGGAGUACGAAGGUGCGCUCAGACCGGUCGGAAAUCGGUCGUAGAGUAUAAAGGCAAAAGCGCGCUUGACUGCGAGACAGACACGUCGAGCAGGUACGAAAGUAGGUCUUAGUGAUCCGGUGGUUCUGUAUGGAAGGGCCAUCGCUCAACGGAUAAAAGGUACUCCGGGGAUAACAGGCUGAUACCGCCCAAGAGUUCAUAUCGACGGCGGUGUUUGGCACCUCGAUGUCGGCUCAUCACAUCCUGGGGCUGAAGCCGGUCCCAAGGGUAUGGCUGUUCGCCAUUUAAAGUGGUACGCGAGCUGGGUUUAGAACGUCGUGAGACAGUUCGGUCCCUAUCUGCCGUGGACGUUUGAGAUUUGAGAGGGGCUGCUCCUAGUACGAGAGGACCGGAGUGGACGAACCUCUGGUGUUCCGGUUGUCACGCCAGUGGCAUUGCCGGGUAGCUAUGUUCGGAAUAGAUAACCGCUGAAAGCAUCUAAGCGGGAAACUAGCCUCAAGAUGAGAUCUCACUGGAACCUUGAGUUCCCUAAAGGGCCGUCGAAGACUACGACGUUGAUAGGUUGGGUGUGUAAGCGCUGUGAGGCGUUGAGCUAACCAAUACUAAUUGCCCGUGAGGCUUGACCAU
rnacentral:rRNA from 2 species